GACGAACGCUGGGGGCGUGCUUAACACAUGCAAGUCGAACGGAAAGGCCCUGCUCUUGUGGGGUGCUCGAGUGGCGAAAGGGUGAGUAAAACGCGAGUAACCUGCCCCUGACUUUGGGAUAACUCCAGGAAACUGGGGCUCUAACCGGAUAGGAGCUCCUGCUGCAUGGUGGGGGUUGGUAAGUUUCGGCGGUUUGGGAUGGACUCGCGGCUUAUCAGCUUGUUGGUGGGGUAGUGGCUUACCAAGGCGUCGACGGGUAGCCGGCCUGGGGGGGUGACCGGCCACAAUGUGACUGAGGUACGACCCAGACUCCAACGGGAGGCAUCGGUGGAAAUUAUUGCACACUAGGCGGGAGCCUGAUACAGCGACGCCGCGUGCGGGAUGACGGCCUUCGGGUUAUAAACCGCUUUCGCCUGUGACGAACAGUGAGUGACGGUAAUGGGUAAGGAAGCACCGGCUAACUACGUG
rnacentral:rRNA from 1 species